GUGAGGAAUUUUCCGCAAUGGGCGAAAGCCUGACGGAGCAAUGCCGCGUGAAGGAUGAAGGCCUAUGGGUUGUAAACUUCUUUUCUCAGAAAAGAAUUAUGACGGUAUCUGAGGAAUAAGCAUCGGCUAACUCUGUGCCAGCAGCCGCGGUAAGACAGAGGAUGCAAGCGUUAUCCGGAAUGAUUGGGCGUAAAGCGUCUGUAGGUUGUUUAAAAAGUAUUCUGUCAAAGAUUAGGGCUAAACCCUAGAUAGGCAGAAUAAACUUUUAAGCUAGAGUUUGGUAGAGGCAGAGGGAAUUCCCGGUGGGGCGGUGAAAUGCGUAGAUAUCGGGAGGAACACCAAAGGCGAAGGCACUCUGCUGGGCCAAUACUAACACUGAGAGACGAAAGCGAGGGGAGCAAAUGGGAUUAGAUACCCCUGUAGUCC
rnacentral:rRNA from 1 species